rnacentral:rRNA from 1 species
AGGACGAACGCUGGCGGCGUGCCUAAUGCAUGCAAGUCGAGCGACGAAUAGGUGAGGGUAACCAAGCCUAUUACGGAGCGGCGAACGGGUGAGUAACACGUGAGCAACCUGCCCCGAAGACCGGGAUAGCCCAGGGAAACUUGGAUUAAUACCGGAUAUCCUCUUUUGAUCGCAUGGUCGUUGGAGGAAAUGCUUUUACGCUUCGGGAUGGGCUCGCGGCCUAUCAGCUUGUUGGUGGGUAAUGGCCUACCAAGGCGACGACGGGUAGCCGACCUGAGAGGGUGACCGGCCACACUGGGACUGAGACACGGCCCAGACUCCUACGGGAGGCAGCAGUGGGGAAUAUUGGCACAAUGGGCGAAAGCCUGAUGCAGCAACGCCGCGUGAGGGACGACGGCCGUUCGGGUGUAACCUCUUUAGCGAGGAGAAGCGAAGUGACGGUACCUGACGAGAAAAGCCACCGGACUAACUACGUGCCGAGCACGCCGC